GACGAACGCUGGCGGCGUGCUUAACACAUGCAAGUCGAACGGAAAGGCCCUGCUUUUGUGGGGUGCUCGAGUGGCGAAAGGGUGAGUAACACGUGAGUAACCUGCCCUUGACUUUGGGAUAACUUCAGGAAACUGGGGCUAAUACCGGAUAGGAGCUCCUGCGGCAUGGUGUGGGUUGGAAAGUUUCGGCGGUUGGGGAUGGACUCGCGGCGUAUCAGCUUGUUGGUGGGGUAGUGGCUUACCAAGGCUUUGACGGGUAGCCGGCCUGAGAGGGUGACCGGCCACAUUGGGACUGAGAUACGGCCCAGACUCCUACGGGAGGCAGCAGUGGGGAAUAUUGCACAAUGGGCGGAAGCCUGAUGCAGCAACGCCGCGUGCGGGAUGACGGCCUUCGGGUUGUAAACCGCUUUCGCCUGUGACGAAGCGUGAGUGACGGUAAUGGGUAAAGAAGCACCGGCUAACUACGUG
rnacentral:rRNA from 1 species